AGUGAACGCUGGCGGUAGGCCUAACACAUGCAGGUCGAACGGCAGCACAGUAAGAGCUUGCUCUUACGGGUGGCGAGUGGCGGACGGGUGAGGAAUACAUCGGAAUCUACUUUUUCGUGGGGGAUAACGUAGGGAAACUUACGCUAAUACCGCAUACGACCUACGGGUGAAAGCAGGGGAUCUUCGGACCUUGCGCGAUUGAAUGAGCCGAUGUCGGAUUAGCUAGUUGGCGGGGUAAAGGCCCACCAAGGCGACGAUCCGUAGCUGGUCUGAGAGGAUGAUCAGCCACACUGGAACUGAGACACGGUCCAGACUCCUACGGGAGGCAGCAGUGGGGAAUAUUGGACAAUGGGCGCAAGCCUGAUCCAGCCAUACCGCGUGGGUGAAGAAGGCCUUCGGGUUGUAAAGCCCUUUUGUUGGGAAAGAAAAGCAGCAGGUUAAUACCCCGCUGUUUUGACGGUACCCAAAGAAUAAGCACCGGCUAACUUCGUG
rnacentral:rRNA from 1 species